rnacentral:lncRNA from 1 species
GAGAAAAACAAAACGUUCAGAAACAUAGUAGAAUAAAAUUUGUCAACUUCUCCAUAGAAACAAGUAUUUUCUUGGUCUUGAGAUCUGAAAUAAACUAAUCAGAGUCUUUGUAUAAAGGGCAUUGUUUGGUCAAAUGUAUAUACCCUCGAUUGAGGAAAAAAGUAAUUCAGAGAAAUUCUUUCUAUAACAAAUUUUUCAGAUCUCAGAAGAUUUAUAACUAACCCUAUUUAAAACUGAUCCUUGUAGGCAGCUUUUAUCAGCUCCCACGGGAAAAAAUAAUACAAUCAUAAUAUAUAAAGUGAAGUGAUAUAAGUAUGUAACUUUCUGUCAAAUCUCCUUAACAUACAAUUAUAUCAUGGAAAAUAUUGAGAAAUCAGUAUCAGUCUUAUCUCUGGCUCAGACUAUCCCUUAAAACCUCAGCAAGAUGUUUGACAUGCACUAAUGCCUUCAUUCUAUCUGUUCAAGUGUCCUCUCCAACUUGAGAAGCUCUCCCCUCUCCUGGUGUCUUUAUGAUCCAAGGCUCUCUCCUGUUUACCCUCAGCCUCCUUCCCUAGUGUUUACUCAGCCCUGGACAUCUUACCCAGGCCUACUGCUCUUAAGGCUGGUCUGCAUGUAAAACCGACAUCCAUCCAACCUUCUGUCAAAAAUUUGAUUUCUGUAACUCACUGUAGAGUAGAAUGAACUCUUUUGUACAAUUUAACCUCAGUAAAUGAAUUUCUAAUUGCCAUUUUUACUUUAGGUUGGAGACUGUAAAACUUGAAGAAAGGAGCCAAGAUCGCCAGAAACACAGUGGUGGAAUUAUAGCAAAGAUGAGAUCCUAAGUCCUUUUUUAAAGCGUGCCUGCUCCCUACAGGAGAAGGAACAGUGGCCAACCCACUCAAUCAACUGUUGCCAUGUGGGACCUGUGGGAGGUGAUUCAUUUCACUGUGGGCGGGACCAUUCUUCCUGGACUGGAUUAACCUCCUCAUUGUGCUAUGUUGCCCACUGAAGAGAAAGGGAGAACAACUAAUUUAUGUGCUUUGUUGUUGAAAAUUUGGGAUGAUCUCAGAACUACAAUGAAUUUGGG